rnacentral:SRP_RNA from 1 species
UGCAGUGGCCUUCGCAAGGAGGAUCCGUGAACCUGGUCAGACGGUAACACGAGCAGCCAUAAGCGGGGUACUCUUGUGCGGAGGCCUCUGGACUG